CCGUGCAGGACCUUUGAACCAUAUUACAGAGCUUGGACUUUAUCCUGAGAAGAACAAGGAGCCGCUGGAGGGUUCCACUGAGGGGAGCAGCAGAAUCACAUUUAGAGCCAUCACCCUGGCUGCAGCCUCAAGAGCUGGCUGCAGCAGCGGCAAGGCCGACUCAGCGAGGAGGCUGCUGAGAGCCAGCUCUGCUCCUUAUUUGCUGCAUGACCUUGAACAAGUAACUUACCUUCUUUGAAUCAUGGUUACUCAUCUGGAAAAAAAAAAUGGAGAUAAUAUCUACCUUCACUUGGAAUUAAAGAUAGGAGAAUUUCCAAUUUUCAGACAGGAUGAUACCGAAUGACUGUUGGACCUGGUACUGGUGCCUGAAGAAGUUUCUGCUCUGAGAACGCCCCUAACAAGACCAGCCAUCUCAAAAACAAGGACUGAGAAAGUGGAACACACUGGCUUGGGACAAAUCUGCCACCAGAACGGGAGAAGUCAAAGUUCAUGUGUCUAGAGCAUCAUCUUCACAUAUGUGCCCCAGGGAGCAGACAGAUAAAACCAUCACUUGGAUCCAUGCCUACCCCACAGGAGGAGGGAGGAAAGGCCUCUUUGACUUCCUUUCAGAUUGCCUCACAUGAGGCCUUUGGAAUGAAGAGUCCAUCCUGGGCAUUAGAUCAAAGGAGUCGAGUGAAUUUCCUUAAAUCCUUUCUGGACUCAGUUGAAGUACAAAUAAACUGAGAAAUAAAAGGAUCACAACUUUAUUAUUUUUUGUAUAUACAAAUAUAGUAUUUUACGUACACUGUAGUUUAUAGCAGACUUAUUUCACAGACAGAUUAAAAAGAAAUUUCUUUAAUGGAAGGUGCUAUGGACCGAAUGUUUGUGUCCCCCCCCAAAUUCAUACAUUGAAGCCUUAAUGUGAUGGUAUUUGGAGAUGGAAACUUUGGAAGGUAAGUAGGUCACGAGAGGGAAGCCCCCAUGAUGGCACUGGUGUCCUUAUAAGAAGAGGAGGAGAGCUAGCACUUUCACUCUCUCUGCCACGUGAGGCUACAGGAAGGCCAUCUCCAAGCCAGGAAGCAGGUCUUCACCAGAACCUGGCCAUGCUUGGCAUCCUGAUCUCAGUCUUCCCAGCCUCCAGAACUGUGAGAAAUAAGUGUUUGUUGUUUGAGCUACCCAGUCUCUGGUAAUUUGUUAUAGCAGCUGGAGCAGACUAAGACAGAGGGAUAGAUAAAGGGUCUGCUAACUUUCUAUUUUAGGCUAACUUUCUAUUUUAUACUAACUUUCUAUUAAGGACUAUUAGAAAAAUACAAUUGCAAUCUACCAUCACCAUCAAUUCAUAAACACUCUAAUGCCAAAAAUUAGAAAGAUAUAAUCUCAGAAUUAAAAAGUGUUAUCAAUGAAAUUAUUUUUCUCAUUUUGCUAGGGGACAGUAAACAUUUCAUCUCAGACUAGCACUUCUGAACCAGUAGUUUAAAGAUGGGACCGUUAGUGGUUCAAAUAACUAAAAAUUUAUAUGAAGGGUUUUCAGACAUGGCUGGAUCCAGGUGCCCCAGUUAUGUGGGCUGGAAUCUUUCUCCACUUCUUGAUUUCAUUGUCUUCAGUGGUGACUGCCUUCUCACACAGGUGCUCCCUUGCAGGACUAGAUGACCCAUAGCAGCUUCAAGCUUGUAUUCUACCAGCCUAGCAACAAACUAUUGAUUCUUGGGCCUGACUCUCAAGAGCACAAAUUGGGUGACAUGUCUGUCCCAAAAACCAUCAUGGUGACUGAUUGGUCAGUCUGGGGUUGUAUGCCCACUCCCAGAAGGCGGAGGGUGGGUAUGGGAAGCCAGUGUAGGAGAGUUGGUUCCCGUCUUUUAAAAAAAACAAAACACUGUUACCAAAUAAAGAAGAAUGGAUGGUUAUGGACAAUAGCAACAAAAGAACAUUACAAUUUUAUUAAAAUCAAGCACUGUUAUAAUUUUACUAUGACUUUAACUCAAGUGAACUCAGUCAUUCAACAAACAUUUAUCAGACACACCUAUGUGCCAGGCACUUUGCUAGGCAAUAGGAGACAAGGAUAAAUCCACUAGUCUCUGCCUUCGAUGAACCCAGCUAAUGUGAGGAGAGGGAGAGGUGGACACUUUUUACAACAGUGUGUGAAGCGACUGAGAUCAGCCCUGUCAAAGGACUGAAUCAUAGUCCUCAUUAGUGCCUUACUUUGCUUGGCUAAUAUAGACCUGACUUAGUACAGCUUGAAGUUGGAUGACUCCUUUAUGUGAAACACUUUACACUAAUUUCAAACAGAUAUAUAUCAUGUAGGAGGUGGGGGUAGGAGGGACAUGAACUUGACCACAGUUCAAUAAGAGACAGCUAUGUGGUCCAGCUCCUUAAGCAGGUAAUACAUUCCCAGACUGUGUUAAAGAAGCACAGUGUCAUAUCAAAAGAGCACAGUUCCACCAGGCCACACAAGAGUCAGCCCUCCUCUGGAGUGUGAUUUAUAGUUCCCAGAACAUUUUUGGGAAGGACACUGAAGGUCAUGAUGUCACUAAGUCUCAUGGAUGCACCAGGAUAAAACAUUGCCAAGAGAAGAAAAACACGGCCGGUUCAGAGAAAAGUUCUGAAACUAUAUGAGUGGGGAGCCCACAUUGCACAGUGGAAAGACUUUGGCAGAUGGUGGUUUGAAUCCUAGCUUUGUCAUUUACGAGCUCUGUUAUCUUGGGCAAAUCAGGUAUUUCCCAAAAUAUGGGUAAAGAAUCACAAGUAGUAUUCAAAAUAUUCUUUAGGACAACUCAAGUGGUGCAUGAGCCAAUUUUGCUUGAUGUUCUGAUCAAGCAAUAAAUUACUUAGAAAGUUAUUCUUUUAACAAUUUCUUUAGAUCUUUCUGAAUAUAUCAAGGAGAAAGUUUCUCUUUGGUUCUAACUUUCUAACACUGACUAGUUUCAUUUUUUUUUAACAAAUGGAGAGUAGCCCUCAAGCUCAGAAUUAGAAUUUAAUAACCACUUUGGGGCUUCCCUGGUGGCGCAGUGGUUAAGAAUCCCCCUGCCAAUGCAGGGGACACGGGUUCGAGCCCUGGUCUGCGAAGAUCCCACGUGCUGUGGAGUAGCUAAGCCUGUGCGCCACAACUACUGAAGCCUGCGCGCCUAAAGUCCGUGCUCUGCAACAAGAGAAGCCACCGCAGUGAGAAGCCCACGCACUGCAACGAAGAGUAGCCCCUGCUAGCCGCAACUAGAGAAAGCCUGCAUGCAGCAACGAAGACC